rnacentral:rRNA from 1 species
UGUGCCCUACGGGGGGCAGCAGUGGGGAAUUUUGGACAAUGGGCGCAAGCCUGAUCCAGCUAUUCCGCGUGUGGGAUGACGGCCCUCGGGUUGUAAACCACUUUAGUAGAGAACGAAAAGGAGCUAUCGAAUAAAUAGCUCUGCUGACGGUACUCUAAGAAUAAGCACCGGCUAACUACGUGCCAGCAGCCGCGGUAAUACAUAGGGAGCAAGCGUUAUCCGGAAUUAUUGGGUGUAAAGGGUGCGUAGACGGGAAAUUAAGUUAGUUGUGAAAUCCCUUGGCUUAACUGAGGAACUGCAACUAA